CCGCCCGUCACACCACGAGAGUUUGUAACACCCGAAGCCGGUGGAGUAACCUUUUAGGAGCUAGCCGUCGAAGGUGGGACAAAUGAUUGGGGUGAAGUCGUAACAAGGUAGCCGUAUCGGAAGGUGCGGCUGGAUCACCUCCUUUCUAAGGA
rnacentral:rRNA from 1 species